AUGACGUGGACACGAUGGGCCAUGGUCACCAUCGUCCUCCUGGCUCUCCAGAGAGCCCUGACAGUCCUGGUGUCUCUGGUGAUCCUGCUAUCCCUGGCAGCCCUGCUAGCCCCCAGGGCCCAGCCCCCCAUGGAGGAGGCAGCCGUGGCUGGAGGCAGUGGAGAUCCAGGUGCUGGAUCUGACUCUCCUGGAUCCUACGUGGCUUUUGAUUUGUUUUGGGAAGUGCCAGAUCAAGGCCCAAAUGUGAGUGAGGCAUCUCCUGCAGGUAUGAGAAUCCAGCCUUGCCUGUGUGUGCUGUGUCAUUCCCUGAGCCCCUCCCUGUGCUGCUGGGCAGUGAGGACAGGGAAAGCCACGUGUGAUGGGAGCUCCUCAGGGGGGUCUGGUAUCCCUGAGCUUUCCCAGCUCCUCAGCCAGACCAAGCAGCACCAGGGUCACUGCUCAGUCCUGGCUGGCUGCACAGCCCCAGAGGUGAUUCCAGGGAUUUCUGUGGUGGGAAUUUUUCGUUCUUUCCCUGAAGGUCUGAAGAAUGAAACUAGAUUGGGAAACAUUUCCUGGCCAUUAAUGGAACAGUCUGAAUUAAUCACUUUACUGAAGGAAACACUUCCAGUGCUGGAGCCUGAGCCUGUGGACAAGGAGACACCUCAGGAAGACCAUCAGGAAGAGCCAGUCCCUGAGGGGAACAGUGAGGCCCUUCAGCCAACAGGUGUGUUCAAGAGAUUCAGCAGUGCUGAGGACAAGAAGACAGACCCAAACACUGUGGAGGACAUGGAAAACACAGGCACAGUUGAUGCUAAAAUCACCUGGAGUGUUUUUAUAAGAGCCUUCCUCGUGUCUGUGGUCUGCAGCCUGAUUGUUCUGCUGCUUCUCAGGGUGGCCCCUGCAUGGGCAAAUGACAUAAAAAAGCGCCUCACAGCUUUGAGAGCCAAUUCUGAGCUCCUGGACAAUGAGACUGAAGAAAAGGACUUAGUGGUAGAAGUCUAA
rnacentral:lncRNA from 1 species